UACGUAGGGGGCUAGCGUUGUCCGGAAUCAUUGGGCGUAAAGCGCGUGUAGGCGGUCCGGUAAGUCCGCUGUGAAAGUCGGGGGCUCAACCCUCGAAUGCCGGUGGAUACUGUCGGGCUAGAGUGCGGAAGAGGCGAGUGGAAUUCCUGGUGUAGCGGUGAAAUGCGUAGAUAUCUGGAGGAACACCGGUGGCGAAGGCGGCAUCCUGGACCGAAACUGACGCUGAGGCGCGAAAGCCAGGGGAGCAAACGGG
rnacentral:rRNA from 1 species